ACUAAGGGCUCACUCCCCUAAGCCUCUGGAAACAGGAUUUGGCUGUCACCACCCUCCCAGGGUGCAUUUUUCUUGGUGCCUGAUGCAGGUUCAGAGUCUGGCACGGGGCCUCUGGCUGGCAGACCCUGCACCUCAGCGGCAAGGGGAGGCUGGGAAGGCCUCACCUGGCUUCUGCAAUUGGAAACGAGGAUUCAUGAGGCGGAGAACUCCCCAAAUGUAAAGCAUGUUUAGCAGCCAAAAAGGAUGGCAGAUGUCCCCUUCUGUUCUUGGUCCUCAGAGCCACCUCCAUCUUCCUCCUUGCAAUGAAUCCCACUCCACUCACACCACGGGUCCCGGCUACACUUCGCCAUCUUCUCUGUCUGCUGGCAAAAAUGACCUCAAGUAUUUCUUCCAUAUGUAGGUUUUCGUCCACGGUUCCAGGCUCAUAACUCCCACAGCCCUGUUUAGAGCCUUUGAUUAUGAUGUUGGCUGUGUUAGGCCUCAGGAGCAGGCCUUGGGGAAACAGAAUCUCUCUGGCCUUUUCCUGUCCUCCUUUCACCCGCCUAAGGCCGUACUCUAAUCUUCCUCCACCUUUCUGAUUGUGGGACCCUAAUUCCAGAGAGGGUCCUGCCCCAUACUCUGGGAGAAGGAAUGCUGUGGUUAUGAAUCUUCUAUAAAAACCCAAGAGGCCUGGUUCAGAGAGCUUCUCCAUAGCUGACCAUGUGAGGCUCCUAGAGUGUGGUGUGCCCACGGAGGGCAUGGAGCCUCCACACCCUUUCCCACUAUUUCUGCCCUACACAUCUCUUCAUCUGUAUCCUUUGCAAUAUCCUUCAUAAUAAACCAGUAAACA
rnacentral:lncRNA from 1 species